UACGGGGGGGGCAAGCGUUGUUCGGAAUUACUGGGCGUAAAGGGCUCGUAGGCGGCCAACUAAGUCGGAUGUGAAAUCCCCAGGCUUAACCUGGGAACUGCAUCCGAUACUGGAUGGCUUGAAUCCGGGAGAGGGAUGCAGAAUUCCAGGUGUAGCGGUGAAAUGCGUAGAUAUCUGGAGGAAUACCGGUGGCGAAGGCGGCAUCCUGGACUGGCAUUGACGCUGAUGAGCGAAAGCUAGGGGAGCAAACGGG
rnacentral:rRNA from 1 species